rnacentral:rRNA from 1 species
CGCCGCGGUAAUACGUAGGGUGCAAGCGUUAUCCGGAAUUAUUGGGCGUAAAGAGCUCGUAGGCGGCUUGUCGCGUCUGGUGUGAAAGUCCAUCGCUUAACGGUGGAUCUGCGCCGGGUACGGGCAGGCUAGAGUGCGGUAGGGGAGAUUGGAAUUCCCGGUGUAACGGUGGAAUGUGUAGAUAUCGGGAAGAACACCAAUGGCGAAGGCAGAUCUCUGGGCCGUUACUGACGCUGAGGAGCGAAAGCAUGGGGAGCGAACAGGAUUAGAUACCCUGGUAGUCCAUGCCGUAAACGGUGGAUGCUGGAUGUGGGGCCCAUUCCACGGGUUCCGCGUCGGAGCUAACGCGUUAAGCAUCCCGCCUGGGGAGUACGGCCGCAAGGCUAAAACUCAAAGAAAUUGACGGGGGCCCGCACAAGCGGCGGAGCAUGCGGAUUAAUUCGAUGCAACGCGAAGAACCUUACCUGGGCUUGACAUGUUCCUGACGGUCGCGGAGACGCGGCUUCCCUUCGGGGCAGGUUCACAGGUGGUGCAUGGCC